rnacentral:pre_miRNA from 14 species
UUCUCCUGUCCAUGAGUGUCCAUCGCAGCAGUGAAAGAUCCCCGAAGAGAGACCCUUAUUCAAGUCUUGGGAAAUCGUGGACCCCAGACACAGAGAGACCA